rnacentral:misc_RNA from 1 species
GAUGAAGAACGUAGCGAAAUGCGAUAAGUAGUGUGAAUUGCAGAAUUCAGUGAAUCAUCGAAUCUUUGAACGCACAUUGCGCCCCUUGGUAUUCCAUGGGGCAUGCCUGUUCGAGCGUCAUCUACACCCUCAAGCUCUGCUUGGUGUUGGGCGUCUGUCCCGCCCCCGCGCGUGGACUCGCCCCAAAUCCAUUGGCAGCGUUCCUUGCCCCCUCUCGCGCAGCACAUUGCGCUUCUCGAGGGCGGCUCCGGGACGCGAUCCAGCAAGAUGACCACCGUCUUUGACCUCGUAUCAGGUAGGGAUACCCGCUGAACUUAAGCAUAUCAAUAAGCGGAGGA